GACGAACGCUGGCGGCGUGCCUAAUACAUGCAAGUCGAGCGAAGCGGCGGAUGGGUGAGUAAAGCGUGGGUAACAUGCACUUAAGUCUGGGAUACAAUUUGGAAACAGAUGCUAAUACCGGAUAAUAAGGGAUGGACCUGGGCGGCAUUAGCUAUUUGGUAAGGUCACGGUUUACCAAGGCGAUGAUGCAUAGCCGUGUUUCGAGACUGAUCGUCCACAUUGGGACUGAGACACGGCCCAAACUCCUACGGGAGGCAGCAGUAGGGAAUCUUCCACAAUGGACGAAAGUCUGAUGGAGCAACGCCGCGUGAGUGAAGAAGGUUUUCGGAUCGUAAAGCUCUGUUGUUGGUGAAGCGGUAAUCAACCAGAAAGUCACGGCUAACUACGUGCCAGCAGCCGCGGUAAUAC
rnacentral:rRNA from 1 species